AGGCGACGGGAGAUUCGGCCCAGUUACUGAUGUUUGUGUUCCUUUUAAUCAAGACUUUCCCUUUUUCCUGUACAUUAGCUUCUUGUGAGCAAGGACCCGAGGUCCCCCUCUGUCGGGAGUCGGGCUCUGGUGACUCUGGAGGCAGGGGCUGCAUCUAUUUUCAGAUGCUUCGGGCUGGAGUGCCCUGAUGUCUAGCCAUGCCUUAGCUGGGCUGUGCGGCCACCGUGGGGAGGAUGCGGCGUCCGCAGGGAGGAAAGAUAGAGGAUGUUUAACGCACCGGGAAGGGUAAAUGAAUCUAUUUUUGUACAAAUGUAAUUUUAUCCCUCAUGUAAACUGGAUAGCGUGGCGGGGGACCUGUUUUGUUUCUGCUUUGAGUGUCAAGAAGCGUUGGGACACCCUGACGCCCAGGCGGCAGAGGAGGCCCUCACCAGGAGGCUGAAGGCUCCUGAGAACAGCACAGACAGACACUUC
rnacentral:lncRNA from 1 species